rnacentral:rRNA from 1 species
GAUGAACGCUGGCGGCGUGCCUAAUGCAUGCAAGUCGAGCGAACAGACGAGGAGCUUGCUCCUCUGACGUUAGCGGCGGACGGGUGAGUAACACGUGGAUAACCUACCUAUAAGACUGGGAUAACUUCGGGAAACCGGAGCUAAUACCGGAUAAUAUAUUGAACCGCAUGGUUCAAUAGUGAAAGACGGUUUUGCUGUCACUUAUAGAUGGAUCCGCGCCGCAUUAGCUAGUUGGUAAGGUAACGGCUUACCAAGGCUACGAUGCGUAGCCGACCUGAGAGGGUGAUCGGCCACACUGGAACUGAGACACGGUCCAGACGCCUACGGGGGGCAGCAGUAGGGAAUCUUCCGCAAUGGGCGAAAGCCUGACGGAGCAACGCCGCGUGAGUGAUGAAGGUCUUCGGAUCGUAAAACUCUGUUAUUAGGGAAGAACAAAUGUGUAAGUAACCAUGCACGUCUUGACGGUACCUAAUCAGAAAGCCACGGCUAACUACGUG